UUCAUGUGGCGUGCUACGUUAACACGCAGUUUCCGCUCUAGUUUUACGUGGGUUCGAUUCCCCGGUGUGAUGCAUUUUUUUUUUUUUUUUUUUAUCUUUUUUAUGUAUUUAUUUCUGCUGCAAUCAUUGUAUGCAUCCAUUAAAAAGCUCCGUCUUUCUUUCUUAACAGAAGCAGCCCUCCUGAGAGAAAACGGUGCUGAAGGUGCAGAAAUACAACCCCCUAACGCACCUCAAACUGAUCUGCCAGCAACCUCUUCAGACGAAGCAGCCCUCCUGAGGGAAAACGGUGCUGAAGGUGCAGAGAUACAACCCCCUAACGCACCUCAAACUGAUCUGCCAGCAACCUCUUCAGACGCCCGUGAUACGAUCCGGAGAAGACGAUCCUUAAGAAAGAGGAAAAGACCCAGUCUCAUUACACUAAGUUCUACCC